rnacentral:rRNA from 1 species
AGUUUGAUCAUGGCUCAGAACGACGCUGGCGGCAGGCUUAACACAUGCAAGUCGAACGGGUGUAGCAAUACAUCAGUGGCAGACGGGUGAGUAACACGUGGGAACCUUCCUAGGGGUACGGAACAACUCAGGGAAACUUGAGCUAAUACCGUAUACGUCCGUGAGGAGAAAGAUUUAUCGCCCUUAGACGGGCCCGCGUCGGAUUAGCUAGUUGGUGGGGUAACGGCCUACCAAGGCGACGAUCCGUAGCUGAUCUUAGAGGAUGAUCAGCCACACUGGGACUGAGACACGGCCCAGACUCCUACGGGAGGCAGCAGUGGGGAAUCUUGGACAAUGGGCGCAAGCCUGAUCCAGCCAUGCCGCGUGAGUGAAGAAGGUCUUCGGAUUGUAAAGCUCUUUUGCCAGGGACGAUAAUGACGGUACCUGGAGAAUAAGCCCCGGCAAACUUCGUG